AGCGACUAAGCGUACACGGUGGAUGCCCUGGCAGUCAGAGGCGAUGAAGGACGUGCUAAUCUGCGAUAAGCGUCGGUAAGGUGAUAUGAACCGUUAUAACCGGCGAUUUCCGAAUGGGGAAACCCAGUGUGUUUCGACACACUAUCAUUAACUGAAUCCAUAGGUUAAUGAGGCGAACCGGGGGAACUGAAACAUCUAAGUACCCCGAGGAAAAGAAAUCAACCGAGAUUCCCCCAGUAGCGGCGAGCGAACGGGGAGCAGCCCAGAGCCUGAAUCAGUGUGUGUGUUAGUGGAAGCGUCUGGAAAGGCGCGCGAUACAGGGUGACAGCCCCGUACACAAAAAUGCACAUGCUGUGAGCUCGAUGAGUAGGGCGGGACACGUGGUAUCCUGUCUGAAUAUGGGGGGACCAUCCUCCAAGGCUAAAUACUCCUGACUGACCGAUAGUGAACCAGUACCGUGAGGGAAAGGCGAAAAGAACCCCGGCGAGGGGAGUGAAAAAGAACCU
rnacentral:rRNA from 1 species